rfam:Macrophomina phaseolina MS6 contig01068, whole genome shotgun sequence.
GUAAGACUAAUUUAGUGGUAAAAUGCUUCAUUGUGGUCGAAGAGAGGACAGUUCGAUUCUGUCGUUUUACC